rnacentral:rRNA from 1 species
UCGCUACUACCGACUGGUCGUUUUUGUGAAUCCUCAGGAUCUGCUCUGGCACUGCUUUUUGUGGCGCCAGUAGCGGAGAAUUUGGGUAAACAUGAAUGAUUGGAGGAAGUAA